ensembl:ncRNA C18D1.14 ncRNA
CAUUUUUGCCGACCAUCGACGAUCAGCUGAUUGGUUUACAUUGUUUCCCUCCCCCCUUCUCUGUCUCUCAUUUUU